rnacentral:rRNA from 1 species
AUGUGUAUACCAAAAAAAGGUGGAAUGGGCUUUAGGGAUAUUCAGUGCUUUAAUCUUGCACUCUUGGCAAAACAAGCAUGGAGACUUAUCGAGAACCCGGAUUCUCUAUGUGCAAAGAUCCUCAAAGCAAAGUACUACCCUAAUGAUGACUUGCUGAGUGUUACUCUAAAAAAGAAAUAUUCGUAUACUUGGCAAAGCAUAAUUGCAGGAGUG